GGAGGCUCUUACUCCCUCUCUCUUCCAUCUUGAGUAACUACUGUUGUACAGUAGUGUGAUUUUCUGGCUACACACAAGACAUGGCAAAUAGCCUCCUUAUUUAAACUACUGUUACAUCUACUCUGCCUGCAAAUGCAUGGAGAUUUAAAUCAUUAAUUGAACUCCUGCUCUGGGAAUGAAGGGGAUCAGCUAAACAUUAUUGUGCUGAAGGAGAAUGAGUUCUUUGCUGGGCCUACAGUGCCAUCUACAGCACCAAGCUUGCAGCUGAAAAUAGGGAUUUUCAAAGGAAAAAGCACUGAAAACAACCAAAAAGCCUCUCAAUUCCUAUUGGCUUUUGGGCCAAAAGUCUGACUCAGAACUGUCACUGACACAUUUAAAACAUCAUCUCAGGAGCUGGGUGUUUUGAGUAAGCUGAGAGGAUACAGAGGCCAUGGUUCUUUUGGU
ensembl:lncRNA